UACGAAGGGGGGCUAGCGUUGUUCGGAAUCACUGGGCGUAAAGGGCGCGUAGGCGGCUUUAUAAGUCGGGGGGUGAAAGCCUGUGGCUCAACCACAGAAUUGCCUUCGAUACUGUAGAGCUUGAGACCGGAAGAGGUAAGUGGAACUGCGAGUGUAGAGGUGAAAUUCGUAGAUAUUCGCAAGAACACCAGUGGCGAAGGCGGCUUACUGGGUCCGGUUCUGACGCUGAGGCGCGAAAGCGUGGGGAGCAAACAGGG
rnacentral:rRNA from 1 species